rnacentral:rRNA from 1 species
UACGGAGGGUGCAAACGUUGCUCGGAAUCAUUGGGCGUAAAGCGCACGUAGGUGGUCCAGCAAGUCGGGUGUGAAAGCCCUCGGCUUAACCGAGGAAGUGCAUUCGAAACUACUGGACUUGAAUACUGGAGAGGAUCGCGGAAUUCCCGGUGUAGAGGUGAAAUUCGUAGAUAUCGGGAGGAACACCAGUGGCGAAGGCGGCGAUCUGGACAGAUAUUGACGCUGAUGUGCGAAAGCGUGGGGGAGCAAACAGG